GGCAGGUUCGAGUAGGCACAGUCAUUCCGCACACAGAUGUCCCUGCGUUCACUCUUCUGAUAUGAAUUCUGUCAGCUCCGAAUCUGAGGGAGAGGAGCAGACAGCCACACAGACAGAGUUACAGACAGACACAGACAGAGCAAUUGUCUGGAGGACAAAGAACUCCACAGAUAUUUAUUUUUCUUCCCUGAAAAAAAAUUUUUUUAAUGAAAGAAAAAUAAGAAAGGUUCCUACUAAUUUGGGGGGGACACAUCUGAACCCCGGAGAGUGUCCCUCGCUCCUUCCAUCCUCCCCUGUUUGCCUGCCCAGUCUUUUUCAGUCUCCCCCAGGGCCCCUUGACAUCAUCCCUGAACCUCAAAUAUGAGUGGUGACAACAAAGCCACCGAAGUCUGGAAAGUCUGCUCCCUCACACAGGACCCCAAAUUUCUGAAUCCCUGAAAGUUCUAGAAUACCACCAAGGUGCAAGUUCCAGCAUUCUAGAAUCUCCGAAAUUCAAAAUUCCUGAACUCCCGCUCCUCAGCAGAUUGUGCUCAGUGCCCAAACCUUGUACCACCCUCUCCAUUAGAGAGGGGGAAGUGGGAGCUGUCCUGUCCGGUGCCGGUGCCGUAAUGGAGGGCUCCACAUACCUGGUCCUCACCCGCUGCCCUAAGCCUUGGCAACCAGCCAAAAACGCAGCCUGCCCUUUGAAUUAGCCCCAGCUCAAUCCCCCGAAUGAAAUGGAAUGAAAUGAGGCCACCGUGAGAAACCGGACCGGCUUUGCAUCUCAUUUACAUAAAUAUUUAUUAAUCGUCAUUAAACUGAACAGAAACACGCAAUGCACUUCGGGUGUCCGACGGGAGUUUCAUCUUCGCUACAAGAGGAAGGGAGCGGGGGCAGCGGCUCCUCAAGGCGGCGGGCGCCGGCGUCUUCAGAGCGCCAUGCGAACCGCGGAGCGAGUGUGGCAUCUCUACCAGGCGGGGUACCAGCCUCUAUGCCAGGCCAUAUGGGCUUGGCACGUCACGGGCAGCAGCUAUCACAUGAGAGACGGUGAUUGGCAUGCGUCUGCAUUGGGGGAGAGCCGGCUCCCCCGGGACCCGCCGCCAUCUGUCACUCUCUACUCCAAAAAAAAAAAAAAAAAAAAAAAAUUAAAUAAAUAAAGGAAAUAAAUAAAUAUCUCUGCCGCCCUCCCCUCCCCGCCCAACGCAGGGAAAGCAGGGAUUGAGAGGGAGGUGGGAAGAAUUGCCCCCCUUGGAUAUAGAGCCCCCCACAUGGGAACAAUGAGGUGGCAAGGCUGGAAAUUGGGGGUUUGUGGUGGCCCCCAAUUCUGUGCUCCCUGCAGGGUUCUGCUCUGUCCAUUUCCUCCCUUGCAGGCCCCAAAGGUAGGUCAGGGACCAGACCCUCGGGUCUAGAGAAGGGACCUUUAUGCUUGCUCCCAGCCCCCAGAACCUCCUCAGCCACAAAGGGACAGCUGAGGCCCCCUCCCAGGGUGGGCGUGGGGGGCGUCCCUGGCCCAAGCCCCAUAGGUAGAUGUUGGCACCAUGCCAUCCCUCAUCCCUGUCUGCCCCUCCCCCACCCACUCUCACGCACACACAACAUAUGUGGCUGCACGAAAUUCAAACCAAGGGAAAGACAGAGAAAAGGAAAGACUUGCCUGGAUGUCUGUGCCUCUGCAUGGGCGUGUGUGUGUCUGUGGGGACGUGUGUAUAUCUGGAGUCAGCUGAUGGGAGAGACUUCCUCGGGUGUUUGGGGGGUAUAUGUACAUUUGGGUGAGGGUGGAGAGGAACCCCUGGGAUGAGCCUCUGCACCCACCAUCUGGGAAUUAGGGAGAAGGUCUCAGACUGGAUUCCUAACCCAGAAACCCCUCCCCCCUCCCCCCCGAAACAUCCCCUUGCCUUGCUAGACAAAUGACCAUCCCACCAGUGGCUUUUUCUCCUGACCUUCUGACUUGCUUAUUUGAGGGAAGAGCAGGCUGGGCUGGGAAUAGCCCAAAUUCCUGGAGGAGACUCAAGCAUUCUCCUCCUGCUGCAAAAAGUACUGAAAAUACUGAAACCAACUCCAGCAGUCCUGAGAGAGACCAAGGGGAGGUGGGGCAGGUCAGACAGGUGUCUUGAUAAGAAAGGUCGGAAAUUGCCGUUUUAUCUUAGAGCUCAUCUUUCAACCCUCUCACUGGGCCAGACGCAGAUGUAAAUGGCAGGGGUUAAAGGAGGUAACUUCACACACACAUACAUACACACACACACACACACACACCUGCUCCUCAUUCUGUGGUGCAGAAAAUGGAUACACACCCCUACUCAGAUAGAUAGGUGUGUGAGCAGGUAAUCGCAGCCAGGUGUAGAGAGACCCUUGCCCACACACUGAUUCAGGCAAUUCAGGGUUUCAGAGUCACCUUUCGUGUCCUGCCCCACCCUUCAGCUUACAUUUGCACAACUUCAAUUAUACCUUAAGUGCACACACUUUCAUGUCAACCAUGUGCCAAGCACUAUGCUGGUGCGAAGACUAAGAGCUUCACCCUCAACCUGGGCAGAUACAAUUUUCUCCCUCUAGGGAGUCUUGGCCUGGUAAGACACUGAUUUGAUGCCUGGCAGAAGGAAUUAGGUUCUAAAUAGAGGCACACACAAUGGUAAGGAGGCCUUGGAGAAGGGGCUCUGGUGCUGUCUGAGGCUCUCAGAGGCACUCGGCCGGAACAGAAAGGAGCCUCAGACCGCACAGUCCCAACACCUCCCUUUACAGAGGCCUAUGGUGCAGACUGACUUGCCCAGGAACACACAAGCAGAGAACCCAGGGAACUGACUCCCAGCCCAGUGCUCCUUCUACAACCCCACAAUCUGCCUCAGUGGUCACUGAGAAUGAGAAGUCGAUGGUAAGUUUUCCUCCAUUCAUGCAUCUAGGUCUGGGAAGUAGAACCCCACCCAUGGCAGACGGUCUGGGGCAUUCUGGACAUGGCAGAGAGAGAGGCCAAAGGAUAGGCCUCAGGGGGAAGAGACUCAGGAGUGCUGGGCACAGCCCCAAAGGCUUUACUGUCCCUUUACUGAGGGUGGUGUCUUCAACCCUGGCACAUGGCCUUUCUUGAGCACCCCAGUUGUGUGAUUUUGGUUACAUGCACAUGCUUUGGGCUCUGAUUUGUGGCCUACCCCACUUAUCAGCUUCAAAGAAUGCUGAAUGCCCUGAGCAAGUUACAGAAUGUCUCUUAGCCUUGAUUUCCCCAGCUGUAAAAUGGGGAUAAUUAUGCUACCCCCCCCCCCCACAGAGCUGUUGUUAGUACUAGAUGGGAUGACACCUGUAAUGAGUUUAGCACAGGAGAGCAAUCUAGUGAGGCUCCAAUGAAGGCCAGCUCUCAUUUUUAUUUUAUUAAAGCACUUUGUAAACUGUAACAAGCUUUACAAUGUUAAUUUCUUGCACACAUCACCCCCCCCCCCCACACACACACACACACAUUCAGAAUGCUUUGUCUAUAUAGGAACUGAGUUUUGGUUGAACUAAUGGGUGAAUGAAUGCAUGAGUCAGUGAAUGAAUGCUUCCUUGGGGUAGAAAGAUCCCCCUGCCUCUUCCUUGGACGUGAGGGCUGGGUUCAGCCUCACAGGCCCCUGACCAGCGCUGCUUUCUGCUCUAGGCAGAGGCUGAACCUUGCUCAGGGUAAGGGAGCCCUUGGAAGGUCCUUCCAUCCCUCCCUGGCUCCUGUCAGGAGCGACCCAUCUCUCUGGUCUGAGAAGCCCAGCUCAGUGCCUCGGAGAAGGAGGCCUGAGUGGGGGCAGGGGAGGUGUACCUGGCUGGUAUGGGGAACUCCAUCCCUCUCGGUCUGCUUCCUGCCCCUGUCUUUCCUUCCUUCAGAAAAAUGGAACAAGUUUUUCUCACUCGACACAUUUCAACUUUUUUUUUAGAAGAUACAAUAAAAAACAGGGGAAAAUUGGAACAGAGGGAGGUGUAGAAUGGGCCCGCCUCAGACAUGGGCUUGAAAGAGGUACAACACAUGCGUGUCCACACACACAAACAAGCAUGAACAUACAGGGACAUACAUGCUCCUCUCUGUACACCAAGAGAUGCAGAGAUGCAGCGACAGAGAGACAGAAAGAGCCAGAAAUGGAAGGAAGGAGACGGAAGGAGAAGGACACCCAGAGAUGCCAUCUGUUCCUCCCCCUGGCAUUGGGGGAAGGGAGUUGGUGAGGGGCCUGGUCCCCUCCGGGUCUCUGAGAGGGAAAGGGGAAUGGUGGGCACCUCAGCCAGGCCUGGAAGAGUCCCAUUUCUGCUGCCCACCCCCAUCCAGGGCGCUGGGAGCUGAGGGUCUGAGGUUCCCAUGGAGACAUAGCCCCAUCCCAAGGGAGGCCACAGUCUGGGCACCUAAAAUGGCUGCCUCACAGGGGUGGCGGCCAUUUUGUGCAGGC